GGUUUCAUGGUGUAAUGCUCAGUACUCUGGACUUUGAAUCCAGAGAUCCGAGUUCAAAUCUUGGUAGAACGU
rfam:Loxodonta africana unplaced genomic scaffold scaffold_49, whole genome shotgun sequence.